CACACAGGUUUGGUCCUGACCUUGUAAUCAAUUUUUACUUAACUUACACAUGCAAGUCUCCGCACACCCGUGAAAACGCCCUUCCACCCACUUAGGAACGAGGAGCUGAUAUCAGGCUCUAAAUCGCCCAAAACAUCUAGCCACGCCACACCCACAAGGGAUUUCAGCAGUGAUUAACAUUGAGAAUAAACGUCAGUUUGACUUAGUUAAAUGAAAACAGAGCCGGCCAAUCUGGUGCCAGCCGCCGCGGUUACACCUUGAGGCUCAAAUUGACCCCCAACACGGCGUAAAGCGUGAUUAAAGAAAUAACCUGCUGGGGUCAAACUCAAAUUAAGCUGUAAUACGAUUAUUCUUAAGAAACUCCACUCCGAAAGAUACCCCAAAUAACCAACUUGACCUCACGACAACUAGAAUACAAACUGGGAUUAGAUACCCCACUAUGCCUAGUCGUAAACUUUAACUUACAUCUCAUCGCCAGGGAACUACGAGCAAAGCUUAAAACCCAAAGGACUUGACGGUGCCCCACAUCCUUCUAGAGGAGCCUGUCCUACAAUCGAUACCCCUCGUUCAACCUCACCACUCUUAGCCUACUCAGCUUGUAUACUUCCGUCGUCAGCUUACCGCCUGAGCGAAUUAAGUAAGCCUAAUGUCUCGCAUCAGUACGUCAGGUCAAAGUGCAGCACAUAGAAUGGCAAGAGAUGGGCUACACUUUCUAUUAUAGAAGACACGAAAGACUGUGUGAAACCACACUCAGAAGGCGGAUUUAGCAGUAAGGGGGAGAUAGAAUACCCCCCUUAACCCGGCACUGGGGCGUGUACACACCGCCCGUCACCCUCUUCAACAAAUCACCCAGUUCUUAACAAUAAACUUCUUCAAAGAAGAGGCAAGUCGUAACAUGGUAAGUAUACCGGAAGGUGUGCUUGGAAA
rnacentral:ncRNA from 1 species